UGACGUCACCGCAGCCCGGCGCCCGCCGCCAUUGGAGUCGGCGGCCGCCGCUGCCCCCGCUCGGAGCGGCCCCAGGCCCGGCCCGCGGGCAUGUGAGACACGGGGCGGCACCGCCCAGCACCGCCGAGCCGCGGCACCGCCGCCCCGCACCGCCGCGACCCCCGAGGAGCCGCCCCGAGCAGGCGCCAGGCGGCCCCUUUCCCUCCCCCUCGGCCCCGGCCCCUUCCCCGCCCGGCCGCCGCCUGAGGGGAGAGGAGGCGCCGCCGCCGCCCCUCGGCCCCGCCAGGCCCCGCAGCCCCGCGGCCCUGCCUCGCCCCCCUCCCCGGCGCUCUCUCUGCUGAACCACGGCGGCCCUGUACAUGAAUUAUGUCUGCCACAAGCGUUGACCCUCAGAGACCGAAGGGACAGGAUAAUAAAGUACAAAAUGGUUCGUUACAUCAGAAGGACACAGUUCAUGACAACGAUUUUGAACCUUACCUUUCUGGGCAGUCAAAUCAGAACAGUAGCUAUCCAUCAAUGACUGAUCCUUAUCUGUCCAGUUAUUAUCCACCAUCUAUUGGGUUCCCCUAUUCUCUCAGUGAAGCACCAUGGUCUACAGGAGGAGAUCCUCCUAUCCCUUAUCUCACCACCUAUGGACAGCUCAGUAAUGGAGAUCAUCAUUUUAUGCACGAUGCUGUUUUUGGACAGCCUGGGGGUCUGGGAAAUAAUAUCUAUCAACACCGGUUUAACUUUUUCCCUGAAAAUCCUGCCUUCUCAGCUUGGGGAACAAGCGGGUCCCAAGGACAGCAGACUCAAAGUUCAGCAUAUGGGAGCAGUUACAGCUACCCACCCAGUUCACUGGGUGGUACCAUUGUGGAUGGACAAACAGGAUUUCAUAAUGAUACUUUAAAUAAAGCUCCUGGGAUGAACAGUAUUGAACAGGGAAUGGUUGGACUUAAGAUUGGUGGAGAUGUUACAACUUCUGCGGUGAAAACAGUAGGUUCUGUUGUUAACAGUGCCGGGAUGACAGGUGCCCUCUCUGGUAAUGGAUCUAAUGUAAACCUGCCAGUAUCUAAACCAACCUCUUGGGCUGCUAUUGCCAGUAAGCCUGCGAAACCACAGCCUAAAAUGAAAACAAAAACUGGGCCUGUAAUCGGAGGAGCGUUGCCUCCUCCCCCUAUAAAGCAUAAUAUGGACAUAGGUACCUGGGACAAUAAGGGUCCUGUGGCAAAAGUUCCUGCCCCCCAACAGAUACCUUCUCCUCAGUCUGUUCCACAGCCACAGCAACCAAUUGUUCAGCCUGUUCCAGCUCAGCCUCCUCCAUUGACUCAGCCGCAGUAUCAGGCCCCUCAGCAGCCACCCCAAAAUCGCUGGGUGGCUCCUCGCAACAGAAACGCAGCUUUUGGCCAAAGUGGAGGAACUGGGACCGACAGCAGCUCAGCUGGCAGCACCCAGCCCAACCCUGUCCCCAGCGGAGAGUCCCAUCCUGUCCUGGAAAAACUGAAAGCUGCUCACAGCUAUAACCCUAAAGAUUUCGAAUGGAACCUUAAAAAUGGACGCGUGUUCAUAAUAAAGAGCUAUUCUGAGGAUGAUAUUCAUCGUUCCAUUAAGUAUUCUAUUUGGUGUAGCACAGAGCACGGCAACAAACGCCUGGACAGCGCUUUUCGGUCCAUGAACAGCAAGGGUCCAGUCUACUUGCUGUUCAGUGUCAAUGGCAGUGGACACUUCUGUGGAGUUGCAGAGAUGAAAUCACCUGUGGACUAUGGCACCAGUGCGGGUGUCUGGUCUCAGGACAAGUGGAAGGGGAAAUUUGAUGUCAAGUGGAUCUUUGUGAAGGAUGUGCCCAACAACCAACUCCGACACAUCAGGCUGGAGAACAAUGACAACAAACCCGUUACAAACUCCCGUGAUACACAGGAGGUGCCCUUAGAAAAAGCAAAACAAGUGCUUAAAAUUAUUGCUACUUACAAGCACACGACCUCCAUCUUUGAUGACUUUUCUCAUUAUGAAAAGCGCCAGGAAGAGGAGGAGGUGGUGCGGAAGUAGUGCUAAAUAGCAGUAAGGAAGAGAAUUUGAGAGUUAGAGCUUCUAAAAAGCAGCCAUGCUCAGGAGCACGAAGAAUUGUUGCAUCAGUUUAUGUGGUUUCAGACACUGGUAAAGAGGAAGACUCAGAUUAGCCCCCAAGAGAGAAAGCAAGCAGCAAGGAACGUCAGAAUCGAAACAAACAAUAAGAAUAAACAUAUACAGUUUGAUAUAUAUACUAGAACUGAUAUUAAAUUCGACUAUGAGAAACAAAAUUAAGUAUAACUGGUGCUGUAUCCUGGCAUCAGGACAAACUAAAGCUUUCAGCUCCAAUAUAUCUUCUCGUGCAGGGGAAAUUAAGUUGUCACAUCUUUAAGUACAUUGUAGUUUAUUUUUGCCCAAGUGGAUCUGCAUUAAUUUGUAUCUUUUUUUUCUAUGUAAAAUUCUGUAGAAAUCAUUAAUAAAGGUGUGUCUGUUUUUAUUUUUUUAAGUUGAUAAACAGUUAUAUUAACCUAAUGUGGACCUAUACAUGAGCAUACUAAAGUGUCAGUGCUUCCCAAAGACUUUAUUUUGGCACGAAUUAUGUUCCUAGCCAGAUAUAGAGAUUAUGGAAAAUACAUGACAAAUCUUCCUUUAUCCUCCUCCCAAACCCUUUUCUUCAUGGCGGAAGUAAGAAACCAUGCAUUGAUUUUUUUUUUUAUUUUUUUUUUUUGUCAUUUGAAAAACCUCUUAAGAUACUGCACUUCAGAAUUUUGAAAUGGAAAAAAACCCCCAAACCUUAAUUUCUGAUCACUCUGUGCAGCUGCUCUGCCUCUUUAUUUAUCUGUACAAUUACACUUUUAAAACUGCUGAUGCGCCAUGUUGGUUUUUUCUGUCUAGUAGAAAAUCAAAUUGUCAGUGAAACUGUUUCUCUGGAAAAUAUUUCCCUUUCACAUUCUGUUAACCAGUGCUUCAGUGUGCAUCUGUUAUUCCAUAUCCUGCCGAGGGUGAGCGAGAUGCUUUCUCUCAGCCAUAAUUCUGCUUUACGGUUUUUGUAGCUUAAUUAAAUAAUAAUGUGAUGCUAUCGACAUUGCAGGGGUUUUAAACAAUGUGUUUAAACCUGUUUCAGCUUUCAGGUGUUAUUAGUUAACUUGCAGACCAUUUUUAAUCCUUCCCUUCAUUACUCCCUCCCAGCCCCCCAAAUCCUAAUGCCAUUUAAAGUUUUUAUACCAAUAAUGCUGAGCUUUAACGUAGGAACUAAUAGUACGGAUAAUAUGAUGGAUUAUGCCUCAGAUGUUUAAAAUUGACGGUGUGUAUGUCUAAUUUUUUUUUUUUUUUUUCUGUUGGAUGAGUAAAAAAAAAACCUGUUUUAAGAAACUGAAUUUGCUGUCAUGUUUUUGUGGAGUGAGGGGACCGUCGGAGAACCUGUCACCAACUGGAGUUCCAAUUAAGCAUGGAAAUGGUGCUCAUGUCCGCUGCUCUAGCACACUGAAUCUGCACGUGUUUAUUGUAGAGGAUCUUUUACUAUAUUAGAAAGCAAGUAUCUUCUGAAUACUAUUUACUCCAAAAGGACCUCCAAUUUAAAUAAAGUUUAAUCUGUAUCAUUUAGACUUGUAUUUAGAACGUAUAACUCUGUCUCUGGACUGUUACUGCCUGUAAGGGGUAAUGGACAGCAUCAGAUUAACUUUUUCCUCUAGGAGAAUACAAGCCUUAAUAAACAAUACAUAUUUAGCAA